UGCGGCUGGAUCACCUCCUUUCUGGAAAACUGCAUUCAAUAUUGAACGCCCACACUUAUCGGUUGUUGGAACAAGCCACUGACUUGCGAAGUCAUUCGCAAGGAUGGGGAAUGGGUCUGUAGCUCAGCUGGUUAGAGCACCGUCUUGAUAAGGCGGGGGUCGUUGGUUCGAGCCCAACUAGACCCACCAAAUUCCAAUGGACGGAUACGGUAAGAGGACACUGGGGGAUUAGCUCAGCUGGGAGAGCACCUGCUUUGCAAGCAGGGGGUCGUCGGUUCGAUCCCGUCAUCCUCCACCAACAACACUUCGGAAAUUCAACACCAAAGCUGCUUUGCAAGAGGCUGCUUUGUUGUUGAUCAAUAUCGAUUGAUCAAUCGGCUGUUCUUUAAAAAUUCAUAGAGUCGAAUCAGAGUUGUUAGCGGAAACUGCACAUUGGUAAAGGUUUAGUGCAGACCGUGCCGCUAGCAACAAGAAUUUUUGAUUGCGUCAAAACGAAUAUUCAAACCUAGUUUGAAAUUCUUAAGUAAUACGAUGACAACUCGAAAGAGUUGAAGUUGUUUACGGCAUAACGCGUCAGGUGAAAGACCUGGCAAGUCCUUGAAAGAUUAGAUGGCGAUGUUUC
rnacentral:tRNA from 1 species